ACCUGCUGGGACAGAUGUGCAGCUUGCAAGUCUAACGGUAGGUUUCCACACAACGAAAUUUCAGGUUGCUCUCAUUGAGACUGAAUGGAGAUGAAAGCCGCCCUGAUUGGGCGAGAUGAGAGCGAAUCAUCAAGGGGAGCAAAACCAAGUUGACAAAAGUUUAACUUUAUUCAAAUGAAGACCACUGGAGAACCAAUUAGCUCCGUGUGUUUGUGUA